rnacentral:ncRNA from 1 species
AUUCAAUUAUCAUGAGACAUGAGGGAUGUAGAAUAUGGCCUCUGGUUAAAUACCACUAUUUAACCUAUUGUUUUUUUCACUUACCCAGUGAGGUUGGUAGACCAACGCUGACUCAGGUCUAAGUUCCGACAUUAAGCAUCCGGCGUAUGUGGGGUGUGACCCACAUCAGGGACAGUGGCAAGUGGGGAAUUUGCCUUAGGACAGCACACCGGUCAAGUGGUAUCACAGGUUUCCAGAGGGUGAGCUAAGGAAGGACAGAAACCUCCCAUGAAGCAGAAGGGCAAACGUUGCUAUGACCUUGAUUUUCAGGAUGAAAACAGAUUGUGAAAUUGGGACUUCAUAAUUUUUCUGACUUCAUGAAAUAAAACAUGGUAGAGACA